rnacentral:rRNA from 1 species
ACGGGGUGCAGCAGGCGCGAAAACUUCGCAAUGGGGGCAACCCCGACGAGGGAAUUCCAAGUGCUAGCACUUUGUGUUAGCUGUUCUUCUGUCUAAAAAACAGGAGGAGUAAGGGGCGGGUAAGACGGGUGCCAGCCGCCGCGGUAAUACCCGCGCCCCAAGUGGUGGUCGAUAUUAUUGAGCCUAAAACGUCCGUAGCCGGUCUUCUAAAUUCUUGGGUAAAUCGGGCAGCUUAACUGUCCGAAGUCCGGGGAGACUGGGAGACUUGGGACCGGGAGAGGUCAGAGGUACUUCUGGGGUAGGGGUAAAAUCCUGUAAUCCUGGAAGGACCACCGGUGGCGAAGGCGUCUGACUAGAACGGAUCCGACGGUGAGGGACGAAGCCCUGGGGCGCAAACGGGAUUAGAUACCCCGGUAGUCCAGGGUGUAAACGCUGCGGGCUUGGUGUUGGGGGUCCUUAGUGGGCGCCCAGUGCCGGAGAGAAGUUGUUAAGCCUGCUGCUUGGGGAGUAUGUCCGCAAGGAUGAAACUUAAAGGAAUUGGCGGGGGAGCAC